rnacentral:lncRNA from 10 species
UGAACUGCCCUAUGGAGAAAGCAACAUGGCUAAGAAUAUGAGAGAGCCAACAGGACAAUGAGGACCUCAAUACAGCAAGAAACCAAAUCCUGCCAACAACCAUGCAUCAGAAAGAUUGAGUAACUUGACCAAGGCACUCACAUCUCUACCCCACCAGCAGCGUCUUAGAGGCAGUGAGAACUCUAUUUUAGAAGGAAAACAGAAAACAGCCCGGGAAAAGAAAGAAAACAGAAGUCAAGACGUCCCAUCUGUGAUACAGAAUAACCCAUGACUUAAGAAUAUUUCAUGUAAUGACUUCAAACUACAGUAAGACUUCAGUACUUAAGAGCAUAGAUGCCGGGUCCUUGCUCUGUCUUUAGCCAGCCUUUGUGGGCGUUCACUUCCCAGCACUACGAGGGAGGCUGACUGGCCUAUUUCCUCCUGACUCAAGGAAGGUUUGCUUGCUGAAAGAUUAUCCAGAAAAGAAGAAAUUUGAACACAGAGAGAGACAUGCACAUGAAAAAGGUGAUGUAAAGAGAUGAAGGAGGUGACAGCCAUCUAUAAACCAA